AUACGGGAGGCAGCAGUGAGGAAUAUUGGUCAAUGGACGCAAGUCUGAACCAGCCAUGCCGCGUGAAGGAAGACGGCCCUAUGGGUUGUAAACUUCUUUUGUACAGGAAAAAACCACCGGUCGUGAAUCGGUGCUGAUGGUACUGUAAGAAUAAGGAUCGGCUAACUCCGUGCCAGCAGCCGCGGUAAUACGGAGGAUCCAAGCGUUAUCCGGAUUCAUUGGGUUUAAAGGGUGCGCAGGCGGAAUGAUAAGUCAGUGGUGAAAUCCUACAGCUCAACUGUAGAACUGCCAUUGAUACUGUCGUUCUUGAGUACACUUGGAGUGGGCGGAAUGUGUCAUGUAGCGGUGAAAUGCUUAGAUAUGACACAGAACACCGAUCGCGAAGGCAGCUCACUAAAUUGUAACUGACGCUCAGGCACGAAAGCGUGGGGAUCAAACAGGAUUAGAUACCCGGGUAGUCCG
rnacentral:rRNA from 1 species